GCGAGAGCAAUUUGCACACCCAACAGCAGCAUAGCCUGACCUCAAACUUCUUUUCUUUGUAGGAAGCCCUGUAGCAGUCCCGGAGUGAUGGGACUCCCUGCCUGGCCUGAGAUACCCAGUUAGCACCUGCGAAUCAGAAUUUCCUCUUCGCAGCAAUAAAGCAUCCAGCCUUUGCAUCUGUGACAGCCUCCCCUGUAAUUUAUGCAUUCUAUGGAAUCUUUCCUGGUGAUUCAAGAUAGGACUCUGUCACAUGUGCUGCCAGGACCCUUUGUCUCAGGACCAAGAGAAAGAGACAGGGAAGGUAAUGUAGAACAAGCCCUGUCUGACCCAGACCUUCUCUCUUCUCGUCCAUUUGCUUCUAGGCACAAGCCCUGAAUUUUCCCUAUGCAGACUGCCUUUAUCUCACCC
rnacentral:lncRNA from 1 species